rnacentral:rRNA from 1 species
ACGGGUGAGUAAUGCCUAGGAAUCUGCCUGGUAGUGGGGGACAACGUUUCGAAAGGAACGCUAAUACCGCAUACGUCCUACGGGAGAAAGCAGGGGACCUUCGGGCCUUGCGCUAUCAGAUGAGCCUAGGUCGGAUUAGCUAGUUGGUGAGGUAAUGGCUCACCAAGGCGACGAUCCGUAACUGGUCUGAGAGGAUGAUCAGUCACACUGGAACUGAGACACGGUCCAGACUCCUACGGGAGGCAGCAGUGGGGAAUAUUGGACAAUGGGCGAAAGCCUGAUCCAGCCAUGCCGCGUGUGUGAAGAAGGUCUUCGGAUUGUAAAGCACUUUAAGAUGGGAGGAAGGGUUGUAGAUUAAUACUCUGCAAUUUUGACGUUACCGACAGAAUAAGCACCGGCUAACUCUGUGCCAGCAGCCGCGGUAAUACAGAGGGUGCAAGCGUUAAUCGGAAUUACUGGGCGUAAAGCGCGCGUAGGUGGUUCGUUAAGUUGGAUGUGAAAUCCCCGGGCUCAACCUGGGAACUGCAUCCAAAACUGGCGAGCUAGAGUAUGGUAGAGGGUGGUGGAAUUUCCUGUGUAGCG